AACAAUAAUCAAAACGUUGGAAAGUUUGCGAAGAAAAUGCUUAUGCAAAACUCCCCUUCGCUUAUGCUUACUUCUGAAAAGCGAAUAAAGGAGUAUCGCGAACAGUCUUAUAUAACAAAAUCUCUUCGCCGACGUCCUACUAAAGAUUCUGAUCAGACAGCAGAUAGUGAUGUAGAUGAAGCAGCUACUGAAACUUUGAUAUGUAGAACACCAGGAACCCCUUUUUGUUUUAGAUCUUAUACUAAUAAUAAUAAUAAUAAUAAUAUAA